GACGAACGCUGGCGGCGUGCCUAAUACAUGCAAGUAGAACGCUGAAGGAGGAGCUUGCUUCUCUGGAUGAGUUGCGAACGGGUGAGUAACGCGUAGGUAACCUGCCUGGUAGCGGGGGAUAACUAUUGGAAACGAUAGCUAAUACCGCAUAAUAGUAGAUGUCGCAUGACAUUUGCUUAAAAGGUGCAAUUGCAUCACUACCAGAUGGACCUGCGUUGUAUUAGCUAGUUGGUGAGGUAACGGCUCACCAAGGCAACGAUACAUAGCCGACCUGGGAGGGGGAUCGGCCACACUGGGACUGAGAAAAGGCCCAGACUCCUACGGGAGGCAGCAGUAGGGAAUCUUCGGCAAUGGACGGAAGUCUGACCGAGCAACGCCGCGUGAGGGAAGAAGGUUUUCGGAUCGUAAAGCUCUGUUGUAAGAGAAGAACGAGUGUGAGAGUGGAAAGUUCACACUGUGACGGUAUCUUACCAGAAAGGGACGGCUAACUACGUG
rnacentral:rRNA from 1 species